rnacentral:rRNA from 1 species
CCUACGGGAUGCAGCAGUGAGGAAUAUUGGUCAAUGGGCGCUAGCCUGAACCAGCCAAGUAGCGUGAAGGAUGACUGCCCUAUGGGUUGUAAACUUCUUUUAUAUGGGAAUAAAGUGCAGUAUGUAUACUGUUUUGCAUGUACUUUAUGAAUAAGGAUCGGCUAACUCCGUGCCAGCAGCCGCGGUAAUACGGAGGAUCCGAGCGUUAUCCGGAUUUAUUGGGUUUAAAGGGAGCGUAGGCGGGUUGUUAAGUCAGUUGUGAAAGUUUGCGGCUCAACCGUAAAAUUGCAGUUGAUACUGGCAUCCUUGAGUACAGUAGAGGUAGGCGGAAUUCGUGGUGUAGCGGUGAAAUGCUUAGAUAUCACGAAGAACUCCGAUUGCGAAGGCAGCCUGCUGGACUGUAACUGACGCUGAUGCUCGAAAGUGUGGGUAUCGAACAGGAUUAGAUACCCGUGUAGUC